rnacentral:rRNA from 1 species
CAGUCGCCGCGGUAAUACGUAGGGCGCAAGCGUUAUCCGGAAUUAUUGGGCGUAAAGAGCUCGUAGGCGGUUUGUCGCGUCUGCCGUGAAAGUCCGGGGCUCAACCCCGGAUCUGCGGUGGGUACGGGCAGACUAGAGUGAUGUAGGGGAGACUGGAAUUCCUGGUGUAGCGGUGAAAUGCGCAGAUAUCAGGAGGAACACCGAUGGCGAAGGCAGGUCUCUGGGCAUUAACUGACGCUGAGGAGCGAAAGCAUGGGGAGCGAACAGGAUUAGAUACCCCCGUAGUCUCUGUCUCUUAUAC